rnacentral:snRNA from 1 species
GUGCUCACUUUGGCAGCACAUAUACUAAAACCAGAACAAUACCAAGAAGAUUAGCAUGGCCCCUGCACAAGGAUGACAUGUAUAUCUGUGAAGUGUUCCUUUUUUUU